ensembl:lncRNA
AGUAACAGUAUUAGGUAGUAACAGUAUUAGGUAUUAACAGUAUUAGGUAUUAACAGUAUUAGGUAUUAACAGUAUUAGGGUAAGUAACAGUAUUAGGUAUUAACAGUAUUAGGGUAAGUAACAGUAUUAGGUAUUAACAGUAUUAGUUAUUAACAGUAUUAGUUAUUAACAGUAUUAGGGUAAAUACCAGUAUUAGGUAUUAACAGUAUUAGGUAUUAACAGUAUUAGGUAUUAACAGUAUUAGGUAGUAACAGUAUUAGGUAUUAACAGUAUUAGUUAUUAACAGUAUUAGUUAUUAACAGUAUUAGGGUAAAUACCAGUAUUAGGUAUUAACAGUAUUAGGUAUUAACAGUAUUAGUUAUUAACAGUAUUAGGUAUUAACAGUAUUAGGGUAAAUAAUA